rnacentral:rRNA from 1 species
GGGUUGUGAGGUUAAGCGACUAAGCGUACACGGUGGAUGCCCUGGCAGUCAGAGGCGAUGAAGGACGUGCUAAUCUGCGAAAAGCGUCGGUAAGGUGAUAUGAACCGUUAUAACCGGCGAUGUCCGAAUGGGGAAACCCAGUGCAAUUCGUUGCACUAUCGUUAACUGAAUACAUAGGUUAACGAGGCGAACCGGGGGAACUGAAACAUCUAAGUACCCCGAGGAAAAGAAAUCAACCGAGAUUCCCCCAGUAGCGGCGAGCGAACGGGGAGCAGCCCAGAGUCUGAAUCAGCUUGUGUGUUAGUGGAACGGUCUGGAAAGUCCGACGGUACAGGGUGAUAGUCCCGUACACCAAAAUGCACAGGUUGUGAACUCGAAGAGUAGGGCGGGACACGUGGUAUCCUGUCUGAAUAUGGGGGGACCAUCCUCCAAGGCUAAAUACUCCUGACUGACCGAUAGUGAACCAGUACCGUGAGGGAAAGGCGAAAAGAACCCCGGCGAGGGGAGUGAAAAAGAACCUGAAACCGUGUACGUACAAGCAGUGGGAGCACCUUCGGGUGUGACUGCGUACCUUUUGUAUAAUGGGUCAGCGACUUAUAUUCUGUAGCAAGGUUAACCGUAUAGGGGAGCCGCAGGGAAACCGAGUCUUAACUGGGCGUUAAGUUGCAGGGUAUAGACCCGAAACCCGGUGAUCUAGCCAUGGGCAGGUUGAAGGUUGGGUAACACUAACUGGAGGACCGAACCGACUAAUGUUGAAAAAUUAGCGGAUGACUUGUGGCUGGGGGUGAAAGGCCAAUCAAACCGGGAGAUAGCUGGUUCUCCCCGAAAGCUAUUUAGGUAGCGCCUCGUGAAUUCAUCUUCGGGGGUAGAGCACUGUUUCGGCUAGGGGGUCAUCCCGACUUACCAACCCGAUGCAAACUACGAAUACCGAAGAAUGUUAUCACGGGAGACACACGGCGGGUGCUAACGUCCGUCGUGAAGAGGGAAACAACCCAGACCGCCAGCUAAGGUCCCAAAGUCAUGGUUAAGUGGGAAACGAUGUGGGAAGGCACAGACAGCCAGGAUGUUGGCUUAGAAGCAGCCAUCAUUUAAAGAAAGCGUAAUAGCUCACUGGUCGAGUCGGCCUGCGCGGAAGAUGUAACGGGGCUAAACCAUGCACCGAAGCUGCGGCAGCGACACUAUGUGUUGUUGGGUAGGGGAGCGUUCUGUAAGCCUGCGAAGGUGACCUGUGAGGGUUGCUGGAGGUAUCAGAAGUGCGAAUGCUGACAUAAGUAACGAUAAAGCGGGUGAAAAGCCCGCUCGCCGGAAGACCAAGGGUUCCUGUCCAACGUUAAUCGGGGCAGGGUGAGUCGACCCCUAAGGCGAGGCCGAAAGGCGUAGUCGAUGGGAAACAGGUUAAUAUUCCUGUACUUGGUGUUACUGCGAAGGGGGGACGGAGAAGGCUAUGUUAGCCGGGCGACGGUUGUCCCGGUUUAAGCAUGUAGGCUGAUUGUCCAGGCAAAUCCGGAUAAUCAAGGCUGAGGUGUGAUGACGAGGCACUACGGUGCUGAAGUAACAAAUGCCCUGCUUCCAGGAAAAGCCUCUAAGCAUCAGGUAACAUCAAAUCGUACCCCAAACCGACACAGGUGGUCAGGUAGAGAAUACCAAGGCGCUUGAGAGAACUCGGGUGAAGGAACUAGGCAAAAUGGUGCCGUAACUUCGGGAGAAGGCACGCUGGUGUGUAGGUGAAGUCCCUGCGGAUGGAGCUGAGACCAGUCGAAGAUACCAGCUGGCUGCAACUGUUUAUUAAAAACACAGCACUGUGCAAACACGAAAGUGGACGUAUACGGUGUGACGCCUGCCCGGUGCCGGAAGGUUAAUUGAUGGGGUUAUCCGUAAGGAGAAGCUCUUGAUCGAAGCCCCGGUAAACGGCGGCCGUAACUAUAACGGUCCUAAGGUAGCGAAAUUCCUUGUCGGGUAAGUUCCGACCUGCACGAAUGGCGUAAUGAUGGCCAGGCUGUCUCCACCCGAGACUCAGUGAAAUUGAACUCGCUGUGAAGAUGCAGUGUACCCGCGGCAAGACGGAAAGACCCCGUGAACCUUUACUAUAGCUUGACACUGAACAUUGAGCCUUGAUGUGUAGGAUAGGUGGGAGGCUUUGAAGCGUGGACGCCAGUCUGCGUGGAGCCAACCUUGAAAUACCACCCUUUAAUGUUUGAUGUUCUAACGUUGGCCCCUUACCGGGGUUGCGGACAGUGUCUGGUGGGUAGUUUGACUGGGGCGGUCUCCUCCCAAAGCGUAACGGAGGAGCACGAAGGUUAGCUAAUCCUGGUCGGACAUCAGGAGGUUAGUGCAAUGGCAUAAGCUAGCUUGACUGCGAGCGUGACGGCGCGAGCAGGUGCGAAAGCAGGUCAUAGUGAUCCGGUGGUUCUGAAUGGAAGGGCCAUCGCUCAACGGAUAAAAGGUACUCCGGGGAUAACAGGCUGAUACCGCCCAAGAGUUCAUAUCGACGGCGGUGUUUGGCACCUCGAUGUCGGCUCAUCACAUCCUGGGGCUGAAGUAGGUCCCAAGGGUAUGGCUGUUCGCCAUUUAAAGUGGUACGCGAGCUGGGUUUAGAACGUCGUGAGACAGUUCGGUCCCUAUCUGCCGUGGGCGCUGGAGAAUUGAGGGGGGCUGCUCCUAGUACGAGAGGACCGGAGUGGACGCAUCACUGGUGUUCGGGUUGUCAUGCCAAUGGCACUGCCCGGUAGCUAAAUGCGGAAGAGAUAAGUGCUGAAAGCAUCUAAGCACGAAACUUGCCCCGAGAUGAGUUCUCCCUGAGACUUUAAGUCUCCUGAAGGAACGUU